rnacentral:rRNA from 1 species
UACGUAGGCAGCAAGCGUUGUUCGGAUUCACUGGGCGUAAAGGGUGCGUAGGUGGCAAGGUAAGUUUGAUGUGAAAUCUCCGGGCUUAACCCGGAAACUGCAUUGAAUACUAUCUCGCUCGAGAGUUGGAGGGGAGACUGGAAUACUUGGUGUAGCAGUGAAAUGCGUAGAUAUCAAGUGGAACACCAGUGGCGAAGGCGAGUCUCUGGACAACUUCUGACACUGAGGCACGAAAGCUAGGGGAGCAAACAGG